GACGUAGGGUGCAAGCGUUGUCCGGAAUCAUUGGGCGUAAAGCGCGCGUAGGUGGCCUCAUAAGUCCGCUGUGAAAGUCAAAGGCUCAACCUUUGAAAGCCGGUGGAUACUGUGAGGCUAGAGUACGGAAGAGGCGAGUGGAAUUCCUGGUGUAGCGGUGGAAUGCGCAGAUAUCAGGAGGAACACCAAUAGCGAAGGCAGCUCGCUGGGACGUUACUGACACUGAGGCGCGAAAGCGUGGGGAGCGAACAGG
rnacentral:rRNA from 1 species